CCUUUAAGUUUGAUUCUGGCUCAGGACGAACGCGGGCGGCGUGCCUAAUACAUGCAAGUCGAGCGGACCGACGGGAGCUUGCUCCCUUAGGUCAGCGGCGGACGGGUGAGUAACACGUGGGUAACCUGCCUGUAAGACUGGGAUAACUCCGGGAAACCGGGGCUAAUACCGGAUGCUUGAUUGAACCGCAUGGUUCAAUCAUAAAAGGUGGCUUUUAGCUACCACUUACAGAUGGACCCGCGGCGCAUUAGCUAGUUGGUGAGGUAACGGCUCACCAAGGCGACGAUGCGUAGCCGACCUGAGAGGGUGAUCGGCCACACUGGGACUGAGACACGGCCCAGACUCCUACGGGAGGCAGCAGUAGGGAAUCUUCCGCAAUGGACGAAAGUCUGACGGAGCAACGCCGCGUGAGUGAUGAAGGUUUUCGGAUCGUAAAACUCUGUUGUUAGGGAAGAACAAGUACCGUUCGAAUAGGGCGGUACCUUGACGGUACCUAACCAGAAAGCCACGGCUAACUACGUGCCAGCAGCCGCGGUAAUACGUAGGUGGCAAGCGUUGUCCGGAAUUAUUGGGCGUAAAGCGCGCGCAGGCGGUUUCUUAAGUCUGAUGUGAAAGCCCCCGGCUCAACCGGGGAGGGUCAUUGGAAACUGGGGAACUUGAGUGCAGAAGAGGAGAGUGGAAUUCCACGUGUAGCGGUGAAAUGCGUAGAGAUGUGGAGGAACACCAGUGGCGAAGGCGACUCUCUGGUCUGUAACUGACGCUGAGGCGCGAAAGCGUGGGGAGCGAACAGGAUUAGAUACCCUGGUAGUCCACGCCGUAAACGAUGAGUGCUAAGUGUUAGAGGGUUUCCGCCCUUUAGUGCUGCAGCAAACGCAUUAAGCACUCCCCCCUGG
rnacentral:rRNA from 1 species